GAUGAACGCUGGCGGCGUGCCUAAUACAUGCAAGUCGAGCGAACGGACGAGAAGCUUGCUUCUCUGAUGUUAGCGGCGGACGGGUGAGUAACACGUGGAUAACCUACCUAUAAGACUGGGAUAACUUCGGGAAACCGUAGCUAAUACCGGAUAAUAUUUUGAACCGCGUGGUUCAAAAGUGGAAGACGGUCUUGCUGUCACUUAUAGAUGGAUCCGCGCUGCAUUAGCUAGUUGGUAAGGUAACGGCUUACCAAGGCAACGAUGCAUAGCCGACCUGAGAGGGUGAUCGGCCACACUGGAACUGAGACACGGUCCAGACUCCUACGGGAGGCAGCAGUAGGGAAUCUUCCGCAAUGGGCGAAAGCCUGACGGAGCAACGCCGCGUGAGUGAUGAAGGUCUUCGGAUCGUAAAACUCUGUUAUUAGGGAAGAACAUAUGUGUAAGUAACUGUGCACAUCUUGACGGUACCUAAUCAGAAAGCCACGGCUAACUACGUG
rnacentral:rRNA from 1 species